UACAGAGGUCUCAAGCGUUGUUCGGAUUCAUUGGGCGUAAAGGGUGCGCAGGCGGCGCGGUAAGUCGGGUGUGAAAUCUCGGAGCUUAACUCCGAAACUGCAUUCGAUACUGCCGUGCUUGAGGACUGGAGAGGAGACUGGAAUUCAUGGUGUAGCAGUGAAAUGCGUAGAGAUCAUGAGGAAGACCAGUGGCGAAGGCGGGUCUCUGGACAGUUCCUGACACUGAGGCACGAAGGCCAGGGGAGCAAACGGG
rnacentral:rRNA from 1 species